GAUCAUGGCUCAGGACGAACGCUGGCGGCGUGCUUAACACAUGCAAGUCGAACGGGAGUAUUGAAGAAGCUUGCUUAGAGAUACUUAGUGGCGGACGGGUGAGUAACGCGUGAGGAGCUGUCCUAUGCAGGGGGACAACAGCUGGAAACGGCUGCUAAUACCCCAUAAGCCGAGAGGUAAAAGGAUCAAUCCGGCAGAGGAGGUACUCGCGUCCUAUCAGCUAGUAGGUGAGGUAACGGCUCACCUAGGCGAAGACGGGUAGCCGGCCUGAGAGGGCGAACGGCCACACUGGAACUGAGAUACGGUCCAGACUCCUACGGGAGGCAGCAGUGGGGAAUAUUGGGCAAUGGGGGAAACCCUGAACCCCAGCGACGCCGCGUGGGUGAAGAAAUCCUUCGGGAUGUAAAGCCCUGUUGUAUGGGAAGAGCGGAAGACGGUACCAUACGAGGAAGCCCCGGCAAACUACGUGCCAGCAGCAGC
rnacentral:rRNA from 1 species